rnacentral:rRNA from 1 species
GUGAACGCUGGCGGUAGGCCUAACACAUGCAAGUCGAACGGCAGCACAGUAAGAGCUUGCUCUUACGGGUGGCGAGUGGCGGACGGGUGAGGAAUACAUCGGAAUCUACUUUUUCGUGGGGGAUAACGUAGGGAAACUUACGCUAAUACCGCAUACGACCUACGGGUGAAAGCAGGGGAUCUUCGGACCUUGCGCGAUUGAAUGAGCCGAUGUCGGAUUAGCUAGUUGGCGGGGUAAAGGCCCACCAAGGCGACGAUCCGUAGCUGGUCUGAGAGGAUGAUCAGCCACACUGGAGCUGAGACACGGUCCAGACUCCUACGGGAGGCAGCAGUGGGGAAUAUUGGACAAUGGGCGCAAGCCUGAUCCAGCCAUACCGCGUGGGUGAAGAAGGCCUUCGGGUUGUAAAGCCCUUUUGUUGGGAAAGAAAAGCAGCAGGUUAAUACCCCGCUGUUCUGACGGUACCCAAAGAAUAAGCACCGGCUAACUUCGUG